ensembl:lncRNA
CUGAAGGUUCCAACCCUCUGGUCAGUGGUCGGUUCCUCUGGCAUCCUGCUCCCAUCGUGAAGCUAUGUGGGGGGCCGACUAAAGGUCACCUCAUUGGCAUAAACUCAGGGAUGGUCCAAGGGGCUCAUUAUGAAUAACAAAAGACAUUCCCGUCACUCAGAAAAUCCCAAGAGUUUUAGGAGCUCUGUGCCAGGAACCCAGGACAAAGACCAAAUAUAUAUUUUUUAUUAUGCCUCAUUGGGAUUCUAAGAAAUCAUUAAUUUUCUUUCUCAAUCUGGGAAGUUGAGGGGUUCGCUAAGGGAGCAGGGGCUAAUGUGACCUUAUGGCCUUUGCCGAGACUCAGGAAUAGCUCCUGGGAAGGGAAGAUAGGGCCCUUGUUAGAAAUGUUAGUUGCUCUUGAACCAAGCCACCAACCCAGCAGCUUCACACCGAGCUAGGUCCGAGCCUAGGAGCCUGCAGGUGGAGGUUGGAGCGGGGGCAGGAAGUACAAAGUUGACUUAAGCACAGUGCCUGCCCCGGAGGAGCCUGCAGUCCGUGGUGAAGCACACAGCCUCUUGGCCUUUCCAGGCUUUUCCCGGAGACGGGCUCGCUCUCUGCUUUCCUCUCUCUCUUUUAGGAUUGUGUCUCACUGGUAGAACAUGGUGAAAGGGGGUGUUGCUGUCCACGCUGGAUGCAAUUGGGAGCAGGGUCCGCAGCGUGGGAGCUGCUCCCCCUCUUCCUCUGCUCACGUGACCCCGCAUGACUCCUGCACCCUCCCUCACCUCUGCUCUGGGCCGCCUUGGUCUCUUGAUUCCUCAUUAGCAGGAACGAGUCCAUUUUUAGGAGUGAUGAGUGGAUGGAAAAAUGUCACCAAUCACUCAUGACAGAUGUCGCCAAAGCUUAAUUAAGAACAGACAGUCUCAGCUCUGUGACUUUGUAGAUGAGGUUAGGAAGAGAGCUCGAUCACAGCAAGGAUUCAGGGCCUCAGGCAAGCUUCUGUUAUUGACCUUCCUGCAAAGAGGUCCCCUUGACAAUGCAGGGGGUGCAAAAUGUGUAAGAUGUAGUUUCUGCCCUCGUGCAGGUUAAAACGAAGGAUUCGUGUGUGAAAAGGAAUCAGAUAAGACAUAAAAUUGUAUUCCCGCGCCUGCCGCCAUUGCCUCUGCAGAGGGAGAGACUGGCUUUUGGAUUCUGUCCCCGGCUGCUCCGUCUCGGCCUCGUCAGGGAGGCCGUCGCCUCCCUUCUGCAUGGUGUGUUCCUCCUCAUCCUUCAAGUCUUGGCUUAACUCUCAUCUUCUCAGAGGCUUUCUUUGCCUGCUCCAAUCUAAAGGAAGCUGCCCCAUUACUAUCUCUUACAGUACAGUAGGUUCAGUGAUGGCCCCCAAAAGGUACGUCCUAGAACCUGUAAAUAGGACUUUAUUUUGGACAAGGGUCUUUUCAGAUAUGAUUAAGUUAAGGAUCUUGAGAUGAGACUAUCCUGGAUUAUGUGAGUAGGCCCUAAAUCCAAUGACAAAUGUCCUUACAAGAGACAAAUAGAAGAGAAACACAAUGGGAGAAGAGGAGAAGGCCAUGGGAAGAUGGAGGCAGAGCUUGGAGGGAGGCAGCCGCAAGCCAGGGACACCCGGGGCCACCAGAAGCUGGAAGAGACGAGGGAUGGUUCUCCCCAGAGCCUCUGGAGGGAGCCUGGCUCUGCCCGCACCUUGGUUUUGGACUUCCAGCCUCCAGAACUGUGAGAGAAUAAAUUUCUACUGUUUUCAGCCUCUUGAUUUGUGGUAUUUGUUACUGCAGACAGGAAACUCACACACACAGCAUCCUGUCCUUUAUCUCUCAUAUCGCUCACGAUGACUGACUUUCCCAUCCCCGACUAGGUGACCUCUUUGUUAUGUGCUCCCGACUCCCCCUUAGCACCGCACGACACUGCCAGAUCUGGGUCUUUUCCAUUCCUUACUUUAUCUGCAGUGCCCAGCAUGGUUUCUGACACAGCAGGUGCCAACUCGAUAUUUAUGGAACGAAUGAAAAUAAAUGGGGCGUCUCCUUGUUUAGAAUCAUCGAGGAAAGCACCACCUUCUGGAGAGCCUGAGGCUUGUCAGGGGUGGAG